AAAGGUAUAGCUCAGUGGUAGAGCGCAUACUUAGCAUGCACGAGAUCCUGGGUUCAAUCCCCAGUACCUCCA
rnacentral:tRNA from 1 species